GACGAACGCUGGCGGCGUGCCUAACACAUGCAAGUCGAGCGAUGAAAUCCUUCGGGAUGGAUUAGCGGCGGACGGGUGAGUAACACGUGGGUAACCUGCCUCAAAGAGGGGGAUAGCCUCCCGAAAGGGAGAUUAAUACCGCAUAACAUUAGUUUUUCGCAUGAAGAACUAAUUAAAGGAGCAAUCCGCUUUGAGAUGGACCCGCGGCGCAUUAGCUAGUUGGUGAGGUAAAGGCUCACCAAGGCGACGAUGCGUAGCCGACCUGGGAGGGUGAUCGGCCACAUUGGAACUGAGACACGGUCCAGACUCCUACGGGAGGCAGCAGUGGGGAAUAUUGCACAAUGGGCGAAAGCCUGAUGCAGCAACGCCGCGUGAGUGAUGAAGGCCUUCGGGUUGUAAAGCUCUGUCUUUUGGGACGAUAAUGACGGUACCAAAGGAGGAAGCCACGGCUAACUACGUGCCAGCCGCCGCUGUAACAC
rnacentral:rRNA from 1 species